rnacentral:rRNA from 1 species
AUGAGGCAUGGAGCUGCCCACUGCAACGGGCAUUGGAUGCUGAUGAGGCUUCCGAAGCUUGCUAAAGGCGUUCGAGGAGAGGGGGGGGGGGAUGCCCCCCUCCCCUCGCCCGCACCCUCAGGCGUCCCUGACGAGGGCGGCCCACAUGGGGGCCUCUCAGCCACAACCAAGUUUACAAUGAAGUCUAACCCCAACUUACUACCCACAAAAGCUGGCGAGAGUGGAAUUAGCCAUUAUGCUCUUUUUGAGUCAACCACAAACUCUCAAACCGUUCUUUUCGGUGCUAUGGGAACAUUUGAUAAAGGGGAUGACUAUGGUAGUCUAAACGUUGUAAUGGCCGGAUGGAUUGCUGAUGGGUAUAGAUCGAUUGGAUGCUAUAACUUGAAGUGUGAUGGUUUUGUGCCUGUACAAAAUGCCCCUAUCACUCCAGGAGACACUAUAGAUCCUAAAAAUGGGAAACUUAAGAUGACAAUCAAGAUAUUCAAGAAGAAAGAUGAUGGUGACUGGUGGUUGUACUUUGGUUAUGAUAAUCAGAACCUUCGUGUUGUUGGAUUUUGGCCAAAAAGUAUUUUCAUUAAUAUGGCAGACCAUGCAAAUAAUAUACAAUGGGGUGGUUACACCAUGUCUGAUCCUGGGAGUGCUAGUCCCGCAAUGGGCAAUGUGCAUUGGCCUGGAAUUUAUUCAGCAACCGUUCGAGACGUCAGAUUUGUUGAUGACACUGGUAGAGGCUACAUAAUUGAUCCAUGGCCCAAGGGUCUAGUUGCUUCUUUAUCCACAAGAAAUGCUAUGGAGCCGUUAUAUCUGUAG